UACAGAGGGGGCAAGCGUUAUUCGGAAUUAUUGGGCGUAAAGGGCUCGUAGGCGGUCCAUCGCGUCGGGUGUGAAAAGCUGGGGCUCAACCCCAGUCCUGCUUUCGAUACGGGUGGACUAGAGGUAGGCAGGGGAGAACGGAAUUCCUGGUGUAGCGGUGAAAUGCGCAGAUAUCAGGAGGAACACCGAUGGCGAAGGCUGUUCUCUGGGUCUUACCUGACGCUGAGGAGCGAAAGCGUGGGGAGCGAACAGG
rnacentral:rRNA from 1 species